rnacentral:rRNA from 1 species
UACGUAGGGGGCUAGCGUUGUCCGGAAUCAUUGGGCGUAAAGAGCGUGUAGGCGGCCCGGUAAGUCCGCUGUGAAAGUCGGGGGCUCAACCCUCGGAUGCCGGUGGAUACUGCAGGGCUAGAGUCCGGAAGAGGCGAGUGGAAUUCCUGGUGUAGCGGUGAAAUGCGCAGAUAUCGGGAGGAACAUCAGUGGCGAAGGCGGCCAUCUGGGACAACACUGACGCUGAGGCACGAAAGCGUGGGGAGCAAACAGG